AAAGGCGACAAGCCAUGAGCUGCAUCUUUGGUAGGGAUUCCAUCGAUCUGCUGGGUUGAUACAGAGUGUCCUUCCUCCUAGGUAUGAUACAGAGUGUCCUUCCUCCUAGGUAACAAAAACACACAAUGAUCAAUCUCAACAAAAAUGGGAACCAUGUUUGUGUAGUCCAAAUGGGAACCAUGUUUGUGUAGUUCAAAUGGGAACCAUGUUUGUGUAGUCCAAAUGGGAACCAUGUUUGUGUAGUCCAAAUGGGGACCAUGUUUGUGUAGUCCAAAUGGGAACCAUGUUUGUGUAGUCCAAAUGGGAACCAUGUUUGUGUAGUCCAGAAAGGUCAUUAUUACCUCGGAUUCAUCUUCCUUAACUUUUGUAAGUAUUGUCCCAAUAAGUGAAAAUGGUGGGGGAAAUGUACACAAACUUAUCCCAUACAGAAGAAAGGGCAUCCACUGCUUCAGCAUAUGGAUCAGGUUUCCAAGAAACAUAUCUUUAUAAUGGGUAGUUAAGUCUAGAUGCGAAUAAGUCUAGCUCAGGCAUUUCCCAAAUAUUCAAAAGCAUUUUGAAAUGUUUUGAUCUAUUUUCCACUCUGUGUUAUCAUGGUCUAAUCUGCACUCUGUUUCGGCCUCAAUAUGUGUACUACCAGGAAUAUGAGCAGCUGACAGCCAUAUAUCUCUCACUACACCACUCUCUCUACACCAAUGUCAGAUUUACCUGGCUAACAAAUCACACUAUGCAUGUCUGCCACCCAUAUGAUUAAUGUUACCUAUAGCUGUAGUGCUAUCUAAGUUCAUCCGUAUGUGCAUAUUUUUGAUUUAUGCUGCUUUGAGUUCAGGAUAGUUGAUAUGAUCAAUUAAUAAACCUUUUGACCAAUUAC